rnacentral:sRNA from 1 species
GUGUGCCGUGCGUGCACUGCGGUUCUGAGCGCGCGCCGUUCGCACACAUCCGACCACCGCUCGCGACGCUGUGUUGGCC